AUUUGGUCUAUUUGCAUAUUAGGGUUUUAUUAUAUAGGAUGCUCUCAUAUAUAUUAAAAAACCUCUAACAAUGAUGGUAGAGCUUGUAGUGAUAUAAUCAUUAUCUUUAGGCAAAUAAAAUAUUAAUGGAAGCUUCUGAUCUAGAUUGAAAAGUAGGUAAAAGCUGUAUUUGCCUACUCCCAGAACCACUUCAAAAUUACAACUAAACUACAGAACAACCAUCAUUGAGAGCCUCCUCAAGUAUAGCUGAACAGAAGUCCAAUAAACUAAGGAUGUACAGAAGAAGCCAUACCGAGACUUAUAAGAGGGGUGGAAGGUCGAAUGGGCUGGUCCCAUACCCACAUGUGGUGGUUAAAAAUACAGAGGCAUAUUUUGGCUACAGAGGUUCCCCUCUGUGGAGCAAGGAGUCCCAGUCCCAUACAAGGCUCCCAGCCCAAGGUUCCAGUGUCAUAACUUCUAGCUGUAAAAACAAGCAGGGAUUGUGGCUGAGUGAGAUGGAUUGCUGCUGGAGUUCCAGACAUUCCUCUUAAAUGGCCUAUGCAUGGACUUACUCAGACUCACUUAUGCUGAGUACUGUGUUGAGCAGCAGGUCAAAAGGUGCCAAGGGCCCUGGCUGGUUUUGCACAAUGGUUAGAGUGUCAGCCUGUGGACUGAAGGGUUGUGGCUUUGAUUCCUGGUCAGGGGCACGUACCUUAGUUGCAGGCUUGAUACUGAAGGCAACCAAUCAAUGUGCCUCUCUCACAUCAAUGUUUCUCUCUCUCUCUCUCUCCGCUCUCCCUUCCAGUCUCUCUAAAAAUCAAUGAAAAAUAUAUCCUUGGGUGAGGAUUUAAAAAAAAAAAAAUGGUACCAAGGACACACAGGGAGAAACUGAAUUGCCUGGCUUCUUUAUAUUCCAGAUCACUGAUUUGAUUCUCAGCUUCAUCUACUCUACUGUUGAUUCCCUGUAAAUUAUUCUUCAUUUCAGUUAGUGUAUCUUUCAUUUCUGAUUAGUCCUGUUUUAUGCUGUUGAGGUUCUCAAUAAGUUCACUGAGUAUUUUUAUCACCAGUGUUUUGAACUCUACAUCUAGUAGAUUGCUUGUCUUCAUUUUGUUGAGUUAUUUUUCUGGAGUUUUGUUCUGUUCUUUCAUUUGGGACAUGUUUCCUUGUCUCCUCGUUUUGGCAGCCUUCCUGUGUUUGUUUCUAUGAAUUAAGUAGAGCUGCUGUUUCCUGAGCUUGGUAGAGUGGCCUUAUGUAGUAGGUGUUCUGAAGGGUCUAAUGCAGGGGUGGGCAAACUUUUUGACUCGAGGGCCACAAUGGGUUCUUAAACUGGACCGGAGGGCCGGAACAAAAGCAUGGAUGGAGUGUUUGUGUGAACUAAUAUAAAUUCAAAGUAAACAUCAUUACAUAAAAGGGUAUGGUCUUUUUUUCAAUAGUUUUAUUCAUUUCAAACAGGCUGGAUCCGGCCCGCGGGCCGUAGUUUGCCCACGGCUGGUCUAAUGGCACAGCCUCCCUGAUCACUGAAGCUGGGCACUCAAGGUGUAACUCCCCCUGCUCCCCAUAUGGGCUGUGUAUACCUUCUUAUUGUAGUUGAAUCUUGACUGCUUUGACAUGUCAAUGGGAGGGAAUUACCUCCAGGCAAAUCAGCUGCAAGGACUGGCUGCAACCAUUGACCACUGAUAUCUGACCAUCAUGGAGGAACAGCUCUGCAGGAGUCCACCCCACAGAGCAGUACGUACUUAAGCAGGGCUCUGGUGCCUGCUGAGUCUGCCCCUUGAGUGUGUUGUUUGUGGAGGCAGUUGGGUGGUGAUGCAUCGCCAUGUUCUGAUGCUGUCUCCUGGGUGCACUGGCUCUGGGGCUUCCCAGAAGGUGCAGGCCAAGGUCAGCUGCCACCUGUGUUCUACCUGGGCCCACCUAGCAUGAGCUAUAAAGUGAUUUGCUCAUGGCUGCUUAUUGUGCUGAGCUUGGAGGUACCCUGGCAAGGCCAUGCUGCAAACUAAGUCUGGCUGCUGCUAGUGCUGUGUCUAGGUUCACUUAGCAAAAGGUACAGGGCAUGUUGAGACCAGAUGCAGCUUGUUUGAUAUAUUUUAGGAAAGUCUGAAGCAUGAGUCAAGCCAGGCCAUUCAGAUGGAUAAACCGCUAGAAACAGCCUUAGGUGGGCUUGAAAGUUGUCUGGAAGGGCAGAAUUCUCCAAGACAGAAGUGCUGGCAGAAGCCAUUGGGGUCAGCCUUUGCUGACCCCUACCUCUGCAGGGUCAGGUAGGCAUUGUAUCUGAGUCUCCAUCAGCUUGGCUAACACUGUUGGUCCAUCCCUGGUUAAUCCCCGUGACCCUGCCCCACUCAAGCAGCUUCCAGUGGCUUUUCCAUACAAAGGGCUUACCUUGGCUCAUGCUGUGGAAUUUUCUAAAAUCUAUCAAAGGUUCACAAACUUCAAACAAGAAGCAUUUGGCUUUGGGACACCUCAUACCUCUUGCUAAGCAGUCCCAACUCCUGGCAGCCUGCCUCAGUUUACAGCGUGAUCUCUUCUGGGUACCUCCAAGCCCACUACAAGUACCAACCAUCUGCAUAUCAUUUUGUAGCUCAUACCAGGUGGCCCGGGUUUGGGCACAGGCAUCAGCUGACCUAGGCCUGCAUUUUCUUCCAGGAGGCCCCGGAGGCAGUGUACCUAGUGUACAUCUUCAGACCACAUUGAAGCACCAGCCAACCUCUCCCACAAGAGACACACUGAAGGGGUGGACUCAGCAGGCACCAGAGACCUUCUGAAGAACAAAGCACUUGAUGAAGUGCAAUAUGGAUCCCUUAAAAGAGGCAGAUGCAUGAAGUUUGGAGCAGUAAAUAAACUUGGAAUUUUGCAGUACAGAGAAAAAGGAGUAAAAGAGGAAGAGAAAAAGCAACAAAAGAAGAAAAAGUCAUUACCAAUAUGUGGAAUCUAAUGAACAAAAUAAACUCAUGAACAAAAUGGAACCAGAAGCAUGGACACAUGGAACAGACUGGCUGGUGCCCAAGCGGAGGGGGAUGUUACUAAAUAAAGAAGGUGAAGGGAUUAGCUAAAGAACAUGUAAUAUAUGUCAUAUAUGCAUACCCCAUGGACAUGGACAGUAGUGUGGGAAAGGCCAGGGGAGGGGGAGGCAGGAGUGGGUGGAGGUGGGCAAAGAGAGCAGGUGGAAAGGGGAACACCUGCAAUAAGGUCAACAUUAAAAAUGUUUUAUAAUAAAAAGGAAGAAAAUUCUAGUAAAGGAAGCUGAAGAGAAAGAUGAAAAUUUGAAAAAGGAGGAACCAAUGCUCAUAAAAUAUUUUUAAAAUAUUCAAAAGCAAAUGACUAGAACUAGGCAACACAAAAGUGUCGCUUAUCUCUCAUCCUCUCUUUUUAUAUCUGCAUCUCCACUACCAUCCAUCUCUCCCUCUUCCAGCCUUUCUGAUCAGGACAUUUUACAAAAGUCAAUAGUUUUGGGCAUUUUUUUUCAAUAUCAUAUUAGAGCUAUUGCUUGUCAUGACAUGGGUGCCUCUAAUUAUUAUUAUUAUUUUUAAAAAAUAUUUUUAUUGAUUUAAGAGAGAGAAAGGGAGAGGGAGAGAGAGAUGGAAACAAUGAUGAGAGAGAAUCAUUGACUGGCUGCCUCCUGCACGCCCCCUACUGGGGAUCAAGUCCACAACCCCAGGCAUAUGCCCUGAGUGGGAAUAAAACCAUGACCUGGUUUGUAGCUCGAUGCUCCACCACAGAGCCACACGGGCCAGGCAAGGGGGCCUCUAAUUAAAAAGAGAACUGCUUCUAACUGCUUUAUUAGUAGUAGUUGUCAAGUCAGCCUUCUUGCAAGAGACUACCUGAGAGGACAAUCCAAGAAGGGAAUCAAGCUGAAUGCACCUCUUACUACUGUCCUCAGGAUGGAGGCAAAGGACAUGCUCUGAGCCUGACAGCAUUAUGAAACUCCUGGGCUUGUCUGGCCCAUCCCUCCAAGGAGUGCACCACCUAGGACAGGCCAUUAUGAAAAUGAAGUUGCCACUGACUGGAAGUCAGUAGUGAUCUGCUGGGUUCAGAUGAACUCAAACAAGCAUGGAAGCCCGAAGGCCAGGCUGUGGAAGGUCAUCUCUGAACCUCCUUGAAGUAAGUUUUCAGACAGAUUUUUACUUAUUUAGUGUUGGUUUCUGAGGUGCCACUUCAUUGGGUUUUUAAGUUUGAUGCUCGGCAUAGAAACACGAGGUCUCUAAGUUGAGGGCCUCGCUGAAUGAGGGUGAUCAUUGGCAGACUCUCCAUUUUAUUUUUUUCUCUUUGCAGAAGUGUCUUUUUCCUUUGUUGAUGUUUUACACAAAGUGUUUGGUAGAAACACUUCCAAGAAAUUACUUCCCAAAAAGAAAAAGCAGAGUUGAAGGGCAAUGAAGAUGAAACUCAAGGACAAAUUUAUAAAAUAUAUACAGUCUAAUUUAGGUUUUAAAUGGCUUACAUCUCAUCUUUAUACUGUAAUUUGUCUGAUUCUCACAUAUUACCCCAAAUAUUAUUUAUCAUUCAUUCAACAAACAUUUAUUAAAUUGGGCCGUUUGAAAAUAAAGAGGGAGAGAUUUCAACCAGAAUAUGAGCUCCAUGAGCACAGGAUUUUAGUCUGUUUCACUCACUUUUGUAUUUCUAGCACUCAGAACAGUGCCUGGCACAUAGGAGACAAUAAAUAUUUGUAGAUGAAUGAAUGAAUAUUAGCGUGAUUUAAAAAAUCAUUUUAGAGUAAGAGAUAUAAUAAGUAUGUUGGACCUGGAAUUGUGAAUAUCAUAAAGCCCAUCAUUCAGAAAAGGAAGAC